rnacentral:sRNA from 1 species
CUGACAGCGCUAGGGAUGGAUGGCCUGUCUAUUUAUUUACAGAGAGAUACAGCACAGACAGUGACAGUGCAAGCUUCCCCACAGGUCCUUGACUGUGUGUCUCAUCUCCAGUUCUGAGGGCCCACCCACAGUGGUGAGAUCAUAGGUCAAUUUAUAUGGCCCAUCAAAGCUUUGUCCUCU